UGCCAGCAGCCGCGGUAAUACGUAGGGGGCAAGCGUUGUCCGGAUUUAUUGGGCGUAAAGAGCACGUAGGCGGUUUAUUAAGUCAGAUGUGAAAACUCUCGGCUCAACUGGGAGACUGCAUUUGAAACUGGUAGGCUAGAGUCCAGCAGAGGGAAGUGGAAUUCCAAGUGUAGCGGUGAAAUGCGCAGAUAUUUGGAAGAACACCAGUGGCGAAGGCGGCUUCCUGGACUGCGACUGACGCUGAGGUGCGAAAGCUAGGGGAGCGAACAGGAUUAGAUACCCUGGUAGUCCUAGCCGUAAACGAUGGGCACUAGGUGUAGCGGGUUAUCGACUCCCGCUGUGCCGCAGCUAACGCAUUAAGUGCCCCGCCUGGGGAGUACGGCCGCAAGGUUAAAACUUAAAGGAAUUGGCGGGGG
rnacentral:rRNA from 1 species